GUAAUGUCUGGGAAACUGCCUGAUGGAGGGGGAUAACUACUGGAAACGGUGGCUAAUACCGCAUAACGUCGCAAGACCAAAGAGGGGGACCUUCGGGCCUCUUGCCAUCAGAUGUGCCCAGAUGGGAUUAGCUUGUUGGUGAGGUAACGGCUCACCAAGGCGACGAUCCCUAGCUGGUCUGAGAGGAUGACCAGCCACACUGGAACUGAGACACGGUCCAGACUCCUACGGGAGGCAGCAGUGGGGAAUAUUGCACAAUGGGCGCAAGCCUGAUGCAGCCAUGCCGCGUGUAUGAAGAAGGCCUUCGGGUUGUAAAGUACUUUCAGCGGGGAGGAAGGUGUUGUGGUUAAUAACCACAGCAAUUGACGUUACCCGCAGAAGAAGCACCGGCUAACUCCGUGCCAGCAGCCGCGGUAAUACGGAGGGUGCAAGCGUUAAUCGGAAUUACUGGGCGUAAAGCGCACGCAGGCGGUCUGUCAAGUCGGAUGUGAAAUCCCCGGGCUCAACCUGGGAACUGCAUUCGAAACUGGCAGGCUUGAGUCUUGUAGAGGGGGGUAGAAUUCCAGGUGUAGCGGUGAAAUGCGUAGAGAUCUGGAGGAAUACCGGUGGCGAAGGCGGCCCCCUGGACAAAGACUGACGCUCAGGUGCGAAAGCGUGGGGAGCAAACAGGAUUAGAUACCCUGGUAGUCCACGCCGUAAACGAUGUCUACUUGGAGGUUGUGCCCUUGAGGCGUGGCUUCCGGAGCUAACGCGUUAAGUAGACCGCCUGGGGAGUACGGCCGCAAGGUUAAAACUCAAAUGAAUUGACGGGGGCCCGCACAAGCGGUGGAGCAUGUGGUUUAAUUCGAUGCAACGCGAAGAACCUUACCUGGUCUUGACAUCCACAGAACUUUCCAGAGAUGGAUUGGUGCCUUCGGGAACUGUGAGACAGGUGCUGCAUGGCUGUCGUCAGCUCGUGUUGUGAAAUGUUGGGUUAAGUCCCGCAACGAGCGCAACCCUUAUCCUUUGUUGCCAGCGGUUAGGCCGGGAACUCAAAGGAGACUGCCAGUGAU
rnacentral:rRNA from 1 species